rnacentral:rRNA from 1 species
GACGAAGGGGGCUAGCGUUGUUCGGAAUUACUGGGCGUAAAGCGUGCGCAGGCGGCUUCUCAAGUCAGGGGUGAAAGCCCAGAGCUCAACUCUGGAAUUGCCUUUGAGACUGAGUGGCUUGAGUACGAGAGAGGUGAGUGGAAUUCCCAGUGUAGAGGUGAAAUUCGUAGAUAUUGGGAAGAACACCGGUGGCGAAGGCGGCUCACUGGCUCGUAACUGACGCUCAUGCACGACAGCGUGGGGAUCAAACAGG